GGAGCAUGAGAUCUCAGAAUGACUCCCUUGAGAGCCUUGUUCCCUGUUCAUCAACACGGAGACCCAGAAGACUCCUCCUUCCUGCAGCACUGCCAUGAGCAUCAGCCUCCUGUGCUGUGCGGCCUUUUGUCUCCUGUGGGCAGGUCCAGUAACUGCUGGUGUCACUCAGACCCCAAAAUUCCAGGUCUUGAAGACACGACAGAGCAUGACGCUGCAGUGUACCCAGGAUAUGAACCAUGAUGGCAUGUACUGGUAUCGACAAGACCCAGGCAUGGGGCUGAGGCUGAUUCAUUACUCAGUUGGUGAAGGUACCACUGACAAAGGAGAAGUCCACGAUGGCUACAAUGUCUCCAGACCAAACAGAGAGGAGUUCCUGCUCAGGCUGGAGUCAGCUGCUCCCUUCCAGACAUCUGUGUACUUCUGUGCCAGCAGUUACUCCACAGUGCUGCAAGGCUGUCUCCUCUCUGCACAUAAAUGCAGGAAGGCUCUGCCCUCCUCCCCACCCCAGAUUCAGCGAUGUCCUUGGUCCUAG